GUAUUACAGGGUAAGUUUUUUUAAAUUUAAUAAUUGAAGUUAUUUUAAUUUGUGAAGAAACAAUUAUAUAAAUUAAAGACAAGAAGACCCUAAGAAUUUAAGAAUUUUUAUUAAUAUAUUAUAUGUAUAUAUAUAAAUAAAAUUCUUAGUUGGGGCAACUAAAAAAUAUAUUAAACUUUUUUUUUAAAAAAAUGACCCAUUAUUAAUGAUAAUAUGAAAAAAAUACUCUAGGG
rnacentral:rRNA from 1 species